AAACAGAAAAGACAGCUAGCUAAAAGUAAAGUUAAUAAGCUAAGAAAGAAGGAAAAAGGUUGAAAAAACAGAAGAAAGAAAAAAGCAACGUCUCCUAUUAGAGGUGGGUGUGAAUUCUUUGAAAUUCCUUAGCUAGCUUAGUUGCCAGGGAUAGAAUUUUUCCAGGUGCACGACAUUAGUUCUCGAAGAUGAAAACAUUGCGGGCUAACCAUGCCGUCUAGAGUAGAUAGACCAUAGCUGCAAUGAGCCUCUUGCUAUUAGAUUGAAGCUUCACAUUUUUCGCAGAUUGUCAUCACCACUCCCAUGCAUGAAGGUUCUCGUCUCUGGAGAUAAUGCUUGCCAUAGCAGAUCUGUUCCAGGCUUCCUCUAUAUAAGGGUAGAAUACUGUUGCGUGAAAAGGCGUUUCUGGUACCAAUUGACAGCUAGGGCAUAGGACGUGCAUAUGGAUGUUUGCAGAAUUAGAUGAGUUAUUUCUGGGUCGAAAUUAUCAAGGACAAGUUGCUGGUUCCAGUUUCCAGUUUUGUUGAUCAAUUGGCGCACCCAGGUUAGUGAGUCAUCCCUAUUCUAUGUUGUUGGAAUUCUAAAAGGUGGUUUGUCUCCAAGCCAGGGUCUUCAUAGAUACGAGUAUUUUCUGGCUGAAAUUGAGGGACCUGAGCAAAAAUCUG